ACUGGGCGUAAAGCGUGCGUAGGCGGCUUGAUAAGCCGGUUGUGAAAGCCCCGGGCUCAACCUGGGAACGGCAUCCGGAACUGUUAGGCUAGAGUGCAGGAGAGGAAGGUAGAAUUCCCGGUGUAGCGGUGAAAUGCGUAGAGAUCGGGAGGAAUACCAGUGGCGAAGGCGGCCUUCUGGACUGACACUGACGCUGAGGUACGAAAGCGUGGGUAGCAAACAGGAUUAGAUACCCUGGUAGUCCACGCCGUAAACGAUGUCGACUAGCCGUUGGGGUCCUCGAGACCUUUGUGGCGCAGUUAACGCACUAAGUCGACCGCCUGGGGAGUACGGCCGCAAGGUUAAAACUCAAAUGAAUUGACGGGGGCCCGCACAAGCGGUGGAGCAUGUGGUUUAAUUCGAUGCAACGCGAAGAACCUUACCUACCCUUGACAUCGUGCGAACUUUCCAGAGAUGGAUUGGUGCCUUCGGGAGCGCACAGACAGGUGCUGCAUGGCUGUCGUCAGCUCGUGUUGUGAAAUGUUGGGUUAAGUCCCGUAACGAGCGCAACCCUUGUCCCUAUUUGCCAGCGAUUCGGUCGGGAACUCUAGGGAGACUGCCGGUGACAAACCGGAGGAAGGUGGGGACGACGUCAAGUCAUCAUGGCCCUUACGGGUAGGGCUACACACGUGCUACAAUGGCCGGUACAAUGGGUUGCAAAGCGGCGACGUGGAGCUAAUCUCAUAAAGCCGGUCUCAGUCCGGAUCGGAGUCUGCAACUCGACUCCGUGAAGUCGGAAUCGCUAGUAAUCGUGCAUCAGAAUGGCACGGUGAAUACGUUCCCGGGCCUUGUACACACCGCCCGUCACACCAUGGGAGUGGACUGCACCAGAAGUGGUUAGCCUAA
rnacentral:rRNA from 1 species